AACGCACAUUGCGCCCCCCGGCACUCCGGGGGGCACGCCUGUUCGAGCGCCAUUUCAACCCUCAAGCCACGCUUGGUGUUGGGCGGGCCCCGCGGGGGCCCGCCCGAAAGCGCUAGGCGCCGCCGCCCGACCACCCGCGUAGCAGGCUCACGCACGCGCGGGGAGGACGUCGACGGCCGCCCGCCCCUUCCAUCGAGUUUGGCCUCGGAUCAGGCGGGGAUACCCGCUGAACUUAA
rnacentral:misc_RNA from 1 species